rnacentral:rRNA from 1 species
CCGCUGAACUUAAGCAUAUCAAUAAGCGGAGGAAAAGAAAAUAACAAUGAUUCCCUCAGUAACGGCGAGCGAAGAGGGAUAAGCUCAAAUUUUAAAUCUGUUGGGUUCCGCUUAACAGAGUUGUAUUUUGAAGAAACGUUUUCUGCAUCCAGGAUUAGCCUAAAUCCUUUGGGAUAAGGUAUCAUGGAGGGUGAGAAUCCCGUUCAUGGUUAAUCUUAAGGAAGCUCUAUGAUACGUUUUCCAAGAGUCGAGUUGUUUGGGAAUGCAGCU